UAGGUUGAAUGAUACCUUUGUUCUAAGUUCUUUGAGAAAUCUGUAAACUGCUUUCCACAGUUACUGAACUAAUUGACUUUCCCACCAGCACUGUAUAAGUGGCUUCUUUUUCUCCACAGCCUCACCAAUAUCUGUUA